GUGGGGAAUCUUAGACAAUGGGCGCAAGCCUGAUCUAGCCAUGCCGCGUGAGCGAUGAAGGCCUUAGGGUUCUAAAGCUCUUUCGUGGGGGAAGAUAAUGACAGUACCCCAAGAAGAAGCCCCGGCUAACUCCGUGCCAGCAGCCGCGGUAAUACGGAGGGGGCUAGCGUUGUUCGGAAUUACUGGGCGUAAAGCGCACGUAGGCGGACUGGAAAGUCAGGGGUGAAAUCCCGGGGCUCAACCCCGGAACUGCCUUUGAAACUCCCAGUCUUGAGUUCGAGAGAGGUGAGUGGAAGUCCGAGUGGAGAGGUGAAAUUCGUAGAUAUUCGGAGGAACACCAGUGGCGAAGGCGGCUCACUGGCUCGAUACUGACGCUGAGGUGCGAAAGCGUGGGGAGCAAACAGGAUUAGAUACCCCAGUAGUCC
rnacentral:rRNA from 1 species